GACGAACGCUGGCGGCGUGCUUAACACAUGCAAGUCGAACGGAAAGGCCCUGCUUUUGUGGGGUGCUCGAGUGGCGAACGGGUGAGUAACACGUGAGUAACCUGCCCUUGACUUUGGGAUAACUUCAGGAAACUGGGGCUAAUACCGGAUAGGAGCUCCUGCUGCAUGGUGGGGGUUGGAAAGUUUCGGCGGUUGGGGAUGGACUCGCGGCUUAUCAGCUUGUUGGUGGGGUAGUGGCUUACCAAGGCUUUGACGGGUCGCCGGCCUGAGAGGGUGAACGGCGACAUUGGGACUAAGAUACGGCCCAGACUCCUACGGGAGGCAGCAGUGGGGAAUAUUGCACAGUGGGCGGAAGCCUGAUGCAGCAACGCCGCGUGCGGGAUGACGGCCUUCGGGUUGUAAACCGCUUUCGCCUGUGACGAAGCGUGAGUGACGGUAAUGGGUAAAGAAGCACCGGCUAACUACGUG
rnacentral:rRNA from 1 species